UACGUAGGGUGCGAGCGUUGUCCGGAUUUAUUGGGCGUAAAGAGCUCGUAGGCGGCUCAUUGCGUCAACCGUGAAAACCAGCAGCUCAACUGUUGGCUUGCGGUUGAUACGGGUGGGCUGGAGUUCGGUAGGGGAGACUGGAAUUCCUGGUGUAGCGGUGAAAUGCGCAGAUAUCAGGAGGAACACCAGUGGCGAAGGCGGCUCACUGGACCGGUACUGGACGCUGGAGGCGCGAAAGCGUGGGGAGCAAACGGG
rnacentral:rRNA from 1 species